rnacentral:rRNA from 1 species
UGAAGGCUGCACCGCCAGUUGGCGGCAAGGCUGGAGUAUUUUAUUACCCUUGUCUUUUGCGCACUUGUUGUUUCCUGGGCGGGUUCGCCCGCCACCAGGACCACAUGAUAAACCUUUUUUAUGCAGUUGCAAUCAGCGUCAGUACAACAAAUGUAAAUCAUUUACAACUUUCAACAACGGAUCUCUUGGUUCUGGCAUCGAUGAAGAACGCAGCGAAAUGCGAUACGUAGUGUGAAUUGCAGAAUUCAGUGAAUCAUCGAAUCUUUGAACGCACAUUGCGCCCUUUGGUAUUCCAAAGGGCAUGCCUGUUCGAGCGUCAUUUGUACCCUCAAGCUUUGCUUGGUGUUGGGCGUUUUGUCUUUGGUUGCCAAAGACUCGCCUUAAAACGAUUGGCAGCCGGCCUACUGGUUUCGCAGCGCAGCACAUUUUUGCGCUUGCAAUCAGCAAAAGAGGACGGCACUCCAUCAAGACUCUUUAUCACUUUUGACCUCGGAUCAGGUAGGGAUACCCGCUGAACUUAAGCAUAUCAAUAAGCGGAGGA